UACAGAGGGGGCAAGCGUUAUUCGGAAUUAUUGGGCGUAAAGGGCGCGUAGGCGGCCAGGCAAGUGGAAGGUGAAAUCCCUCGGCUUAACCGAGGAACUGCCCUCCAAACUGCUUGGCUUGAGACCGGGAGAGGUGAGUGGAAUUCCCAGUGUAGCGGUGAAAUGCGUAGAUAUUGGGAGGAACACCAGUGGCGAAGGCGGCUCACUGGACCGGUACUGACGCUGAUGCGCGAAAGCGUGGGGAGCAACGGG
rnacentral:rRNA from 1 species